rnacentral:misc_RNA from 1 species
GCAGUUGAUUACUAUGUUGGCUUGCACAGCGACAUCUUCAUCUCCGCUUCUCCAGGAACUAUGCACAAUGCAUUGUUGGGACAUCGAACUUACAAGAACAUGAAAACCAUGAGGCCCAACAUGCCAUUGUUGGGGCAACUGUUCCUGAACAAAAGCAUUAGUUGGUCAGACUUCCAGCAGGCAGUUCUUGAAGGGCAUGAAAACAGACAAGGCCAGAUCAGACUAAGAAAGCCAAAACAAUCCAUAUAUACGUAUCCUGCCCCUGAUUGUAUGUGCCAGGCUUAAGGUGAUGUAUCUGAAGGAUGUUGAGUUACCAUCUCCAUUCUAUUGAUUUGGCAGCACAACUAUUGUACGUGGCUGGUAUUAUAAAUAAACAAGAAAUUCCAUUUCUUCUUUGAUGGAAAAGAGCAGAGAUAGCAAUUUAGCAAGAGAAGAUGGGGUGGGGAGUGAUUUAGAUGAUGAUUGUGUAUUUGUCACUUCGUUUCUGGACCAGGAAAAUAUUUAUUUGUGAUUCAAUAGGUUACAGCUGUAUUUGUACCACUUUUGUUUCUGAAACCUUUGACUUUAUGUAGUCAAGGCGAGCCAGUACCUGUUUCGGGUUGUAGGACCUUAAAUUGGAUCUCAUGGUUUGGCUGAUGUUUGUUAGAGUGAUAAAUUU